rnacentral:rRNA from 1 species
AGCAGCCGCGGUAAUUCCAGCUCCAAUAGCGUAUAUUAAAGUUGUUGCAGUUAAAAAGCUCGUAGUUGAAUUUCGAGAUCAAUACGCCGGUCGUGCCUUCGGUACGUACUGGCGUUAUUGAUUUCUCCUUUCUGACGAACCAUGAUGUCAUUAAUUUGGUGUUAUGGGAAGUUAGGACUGUUACUUUGAAAAAAUUAGAGUGUUUAAAGCAGGCAUACGCUUGAAUACAUUAGCAUGGAAUAAUGAAAUAGGACGUUCGAUCCUAUUUUGUUGGUUUCUAGGAUCGACGUAAUGAUUAAUAGGGAUAGUUGGGGGCAUUAGUAUUCAAUUGUCAGAGGUGAAAUUCUUGGAUUUAUUGAAGACUAACUACUGCGAAAGCAUUUGCCAAGGAUGUUUUCAUUAAUCAAGAACGAAAGUUAGGGGAUCGAAGACGAUCAGAUACCGUCGUAGUCUUAACCAUAAACUAUGCCGACUAGGGAUCGGAUGAUGUUAAUUUUAUAAUGA